rnacentral:rRNA from 1 species
AUGGAGCCUUCAGUAUCUCCGCCAGGCGCACCGAAGCAAGCUGGCACGCGCAGACCUUGUACUGGAUGCUCUGUGAAGGAUUUGUGUCUUGUUUCAAAACAAGGGUCAAUAGCUGAAGUGGAAUCUGCUUUGGCCUUGAUAAAAAAGAACGGUGGAAGCAUUGACGGUAGAAAUGCAUUUGGCCUUGGUGCCCUCCACCUUGCAACAUGGAGAAAUCACCUUCCAAUCGUCAGGCGGCUCCUAGAUGCUGGUGCUAAUCCAGAUGCAAGGGAUGGAGAAUCCGGUUGGAGCAGCCUUCACAGAGCACUUCAUUUUGGCCACUUGUGCAUUGCUGGUGUUCUUCUACAGUUUGGUGCAUCCCUCAAUUUGGAGGACACCAAGGGUCGUACACCUAUUGAUCUUCUCUCUGGCCCUGUAUCACAGGCUAAUGGGGAUUCUCCCAAUUCAGUUGCAACGGAAGUCUUCAGUUGGGGAAGUGGAACAAACUAUCAACUGGGAACUGGCAAUGCCCACAUACAAAAACUACCUUGCAAAGUAGAUGCCUUGCAUGGGUCAUAUAUCAAAACUGUUGCUGCAUCAAAGUUCCACAGUGUAGCAGUCAGUUCUGAUGGUGAAUUAUACACUUGGGGAUUUGGUCGAGGUGGUCGUCUUGGACAUCCGGAUAUUCAGAGUGGCCAGACGACAGCUGUGAUUACCCCUCGCCAAGUGACAGUUGGAUUAGGCCGUAAAAAGGUGAAUGUUGUGGCUGCUGCGAAACAUCACACAGUGAUUGCUACAUCAGCUGGGGAAUUGUUUACCUGGGGAUCAAACAGAGAGGGUCAGCUUGGUUACCCUUCUGUCGAUACCCAACCAACACCAAGGCGUGUUAGUUCACUCAAGCAAAGGAUAAUUGCAGUAGCCGCUGCAAACAAGCACUCAGCAGCAGUUGCCGAUACUGGCGAAGUGUUCACAUGGGGUUCCAAUAAGGAGGGCCAGCUAGGCUAUGGCACUUCAAACUCGGCAUCCAAUUGCAUUCCAAGAAUGGUAGAGUAUUUGAAAGGAAAAGUAUUUAAAGGUGUAUCUGCAGCAAAAUAUCAUACGUUAGUGUUUGGGGCUGAUGGUGAGGUGUUCACUUGGGGUCAUCGCCUCGUGACCCCUCGCCGUGUUGUAAUAGCUAGAUGUCUUAAGAAGGGUGGAAAUGCAAAUGUGAAGUUUCAUCGUAUGGAGCGACUUCAGGUGAUCUCUGUGGCAGCUGGAGUGAUGCACAGUACUGCUCUAACAGCUGAUGGUGCUAUUUUGUACUGGAAUUCAUCGGAUCUGGACUUAAGAUGUCAACAGAUAUUCUCUAUGUGUGGACGGAAUGUAGUGAGCAUCUCAGCUGGAAAGUACUGGACUGCACUGGCUACAUCAACUGGUGAUGUUUUCAUGUGUGAUGCAAAGAAACGUAAGGAUGAAACUCCAGUAUUUACUCGAGUGAAUGGUGUUAAGCGAGCAUCAUCAGUUUGUGUUGGUGAAACACAUAUGCUUGUGCUUUCUAGUAUUUACCAUCCCGAGUAUCCACCCAAACCCAAAUUCCAAAGCAAAAAGCCCUCAUCAGAAUGGAGUGGUGUGAUGGAAGAGUUGGAUGAAGACAUAUUGUUUACUGAUGUCCAGCCUGAAACUGAUCUAUCUGUUACCAGCAAUGAAAUGAGCAAAGGCAUACCCAGUCUGAAGAGCCUCUGUGAGAAAGUUGCAAUUCAGCAUAUAAUGGAGCCAAAGAAUGCUAUACAACUUCUUGAAGUUGCUGAUUCCUUGGAAGCCAAAGAGCUCAAGAAGCACUGUGAGGAUACAGCUAUUCGCAACCUUGAUUACAUCUUCACAGUGGCAGCUCCUUCAAUUAUGAAUGCUUCUCCUGAAAUUCUUGCAAAUUUAGAGAGAUUGCUGGAUGAAAAAUCCUCGGAGCCCUGGAGUCACCGCCGUCUUCCCACAAUGACAGCUACUUAUCCUGCUGUCAUUGAUAGCGAUGCAGAGGGAGAUAAUGCAGGAGGAUUCCCUAGGCUCAGGGACAAUCAGAAGCCUGCAUCAAAGUUGUAUGGAAUGUCAGGUUAUGGUAACUUCCUUCAGAAAGAAAGCAAUGCUGAGCAAUUUGUCUCCAAACAGAUCAGGGCAAUUCGCAAGAAACUGCAGCAGAUUGAGAUGCUCGAGGCUAAACAACUGGAUGGUCAUCAGCUUGAUGAUCAACAGCUAGCAAAGCUCGAGUCUAGGGCUUCCCUUGAAAGUGAACUUGCAGAGCUUGGCUUUCCAACAGAAGCAUUUUCAAGACCUUCAGUUUAUGUGCCAAACAAAAAAUCUGAGGGUUCUAAGAAACAGAAGAAGAAAAUCAAGCAGGCAGCACAAUCUGAUAUUACCUCUAUAAAGCAUGAGGACAAGGAGCAAAACCACAAUAAGGAGCUUCCAGAAGUGUUACCAACCCAUGGCUCUUCAGAAAAGGAACCAGUCAAACCAUCUGAUGAUGGCACUUCGAGUAACACAAAAGCCAUCUUUUAUCCAUUAGGGAACAAAGCUUCCCGGCCAACUUCAUCAAAGAAGAAGAACAAGAAAGGUGGCUUGUCAUUGUUUUUGAGUGGUGCUCUUGAUGACACCUCAAAGCUAAGCUUGCCUACUCCUGCUGUGCCUGUGACACCAAAGCAAGAAGGACCUGCCUGGGGUGGAGCUAAGAUAACGAAGGGACCUGCUUCCCUUCGUGAUAUUCAAAGCGAGCAGAGGUCGAAAACGAACGAGCUGGUGACGACGAAAGCAAAAGACCGCCAUGAGGAUUCACCUGACAGUGCUGGGCUUUUGCGGCUUUCUUCAUUUAUGCCUGAUGCGUGUUCAAGUCCAAUAUCUGUUGCACCUGCUCGUGCUGUUCCUGCUCACGAAGGGGAUAAGAGCACACCUCCUUGGUCAUCUUCAGCUACCUCACCCAACCUAUCACGGCCUUCACUCAGGGACAUACAGAUGCAGCAGGAGAAACGGCACCACGGCGUUGUCUCCCACAGUCCGAAAACCCGGACAUCAGGCUUUGCCAUACCAUCCCUGGGCGCAGCGCCAGAGGUUGUUGGCGUGAAGGACAACGUUCCCAACCGCUGGUUUAAGCCAGAGACUGACACCCCGUCCUCCAUCCGCUCGAUCCAGAUUGAGGAACAAGCGAUGAAGGACUUCAAGCGUUUCUACACCACCGUGAGGAUCAUGAAGCCACAGGUCUAG